UGAAACAAGGGAAAACGUUGGCAGCAGUAAAGAAUUUUAUGCAAUAUACGAAAGUAAGACAUAGGCAGAACCUUUUAACCUGUCAAAUUAAGUGCCAGCAGACGCGGUGAAACUUAAGGGUUUGUUUUUUAGAAAAAGCAGAAAGCGUGUAAAGGUAAAACAUUUAAAAUAAAUAGAAUUUUUUUAGUAAUAGUGCAAUAUUAAAAGAAAAAAAAGAAUUUUUUAUGUGAAGACAAUUUAUUUUUUUUCUUUAACACGAAGGUUCUGGGAGCAAACAGGAUUAGAGACCCUGGUAGUCGAUACAGUAAAAGAAAGUCGCUUGAGUAGUACGGUCGCAAGAUUAAAAUUCAAAAAACUUGGCUGUUCAUUGUUAUUUAGAGGAGCGCGUUGCUUAAUUCGAUAGCCCGCGAGUUACCUUACCAAAACUAGCUUUUUCAGGUGUUGCAUGGCCGUCGUCAAUUUAUGUUUGAUACAAUAGAUUAAACCCUAGAAAGGUUGAAGUCAGGUAUUAUUGCCUUUAUGUUUUGGGGUUCGAUGCGCUACAUUUUUUUUUUUAAUAAAAAAAAAGAGUUCGGAUUGUCUUUAAAAGAGGAUGAUGAAGGGGGAUUUAAUAGUAAUUGAAAAGUAGAGCGUUUCAAUGAAUUUGCCGCAAUGUUAGUACAAAUUGCCCGUCGCCUCUGCUGAUGGAAACAAAGUA
rnacentral:rRNA from 2 species